GAGUUUGAUCUUGGCUCAGGAUGAACGCUAGCGGCAGGCCUAACACAUGCAAGUCGAGGGGUAGAGUUAGCUUGCUAACUUGAGACCGGCGCACGGGUGCGUAACGCGUAUGCAAUCUGCCUUGUACAGAGGGAUAGCCCAGAGAAAUUUGGAUUAAUACCUCAUAGUAUAUUUGAAUGGCAUCAUUUAAAUAUUAAAGUUCCAACGGUACAAGAUGAGCAUGCGUCCCAUUAGUUAGUUGGUAAGGUAACGGCUUACCAAGACAAUGAUGGGUAGGGGUCCUGAGAGGGAGAUCCCCCACACUGGUACUGAGACACGGACCAGACUCCUACGGGAGGCAGCAGUGAGGAAUAUUGGUCAAUGGGCGCAAGCCUGAACCAGCCAUGCCGCGUGCAGGAUGACGGUCCUAUGGAUUGUAAACUGCUUUUGUACGGGAAGAAACACUCCUACGUGUAGGAACUUGACGGUACUGUAAGAAUAAGGAUCGGCUAACUCCGUGCCAGCAGCCGC
rnacentral:rRNA from 1 species